rnacentral:lncRNA from 1 species
UUACCGGGCUACUAGGUACAUUGGUUAAUAAGGACUGCUAGUCACAGCCAAUAGUAACUUAAAACAAAUCACCUUAAUACUCUCUCUCUCUCUCUCUCUCUCUCUCUCUCUCUCUCUCUCUCUCUCUCUCUCUCUCUCUCUCUCACUCACUCACUCACUCACUCACUCACUCACUCUCUCUCUCUCUCUCUCUCUCUCUCUCUCUCUCUCUCUCUCUCUCUCUCUCUCUCUCUCUCUCUCUCUCUCUCUCUCUCUCUCUCUCUCUCUCUCUCACUGUCUCUCUCACUGUCUCUCUCACUGUCUCUCUCACUCUCUCUCUCACUCUCUCACUGUCUCUCUAUCUCAGAUUCAAGUCUCUUAUCAAACCAGGAAGGGACGGCCGUCACGUUGACCUGGGAGGUUCCUCCGUUGUCCCUGGUUACUGGAUUUGACGUCCAGAUGAGAGGACCGGCCUUAGAUGAGACCCUCCAGCGGUCCGGUGAGUUCCGCUCCAUCCAGGUGAAGCCGGGGUCGGCUCGCAGUGCAGGCGUGCUCAACCUGGACCCUAAGUCCACCUACCACUUCCGGGUCAUCCCCAGUGCUGGGAGAAUGGCCGGGGAGCCCUCGAUGCAGGACCGGAUCGGACCAGGCGACGGUCUGAGCGGCGCGGCGGUCGCUGGGAUAGCAGCGGGCAUCCCCUGUGGCGUCCUGGCCCUCCUCAUCUCCACAGGCCUCCUCUACCUCAGCGUCUCCCGCUGUAAGAGGUCAGAUAGUAGCAAGCCAGCCUGAUUCCGCUCUGCCAGACUACAACAAAAUCCAGGCUCCAUCUGAACUGUCAUUGGCCGUCCCAAAGUUUGUCCCGCCUCCUCCUUUCAGAACUGCAACAACUGUUUAAAGAAGCAAAACGAUUGUAUGUGUGUGUGUGUGUGUGUGUGUGUGUGUGUGUGUGUGUGUGUGUGUGUGUGUGUGUGUGUGUGUGUGUGUGUGUGUGUGUGUGUGUGUGUGUCUGUGUGUGUGUGUGUCUGUGUGUGACUGUUGUUUGAGACCAUCCAGUUAAAUUUCGUCAUACUAAUUAGUAUUUAUAAUAUCAGUUUUAUUGUGAAUAUAUAGUUGUACAAUUACAGCAGAACAACUAUUUAUUGAAUAUUGAAUAAGGUGAACAAUUUUAACAAUCGGGUUUUAGAUUUCUGUUCACAACCAAAUGAACAUUUUUCAUUUGGUUGUGAACAGAAACAUCUUACAUUUUUAGUGCACUUACUUUUAACUGUCUCACAUGAUCGGUUCCCUAAAUAAUAAGUAAUCCAUCCACUUUAAAUGUGGUGCAAUGUCUAAAUUAUUUCACACCUUAUAUUUAGUUUGAACUGAAAUUGUCAACAUAUUACCUGCUUAUAUCUUACUAAUAAAUGUCUAAAGUAUUAAUUUCCCCUUUUUUGUUUUAAGUUCAUCAUUUAAUUUGUUUUACACAAAAGUGCAUCAGACUUGUUGAAGGGAUAAUGUGGUGGAUUUAAUAUCUGACUUGUUCUAACUUCCUCUUAUCACGAAAUGUUGGCUGCUGCCCAUGCUCUUUAGCCUUCAUAUUUUAAGCACACUAUCUCUUCACAUAAACCUGUUGCUUGAAUAAAUGUUUCCUAUUUCUAUUUUGGUUUUACAUCAUUGAG